UUUCCUUGGAGAUAUUCAAAAGCCAUCUGGCCAAAGUCUUGGCCAGCCUUUUCUAUCUUGAUUAGGGGUGUUGAAAUAUAUGGUUUUCCGAGGUCCCCUCUAACAAGUGAUUCUGUGCUUCUUUGACUUACUGUCCAUUUAUAUUUCAUAUAAAUAUUAAUGUUUUUAACUCUACAAUAUGCAUUUUAAAAAAAGUAUGUUGAUGUUAGAUGAUAAAACAUAUUACAUGUUAAGUUUUUUCAGUUCCCCAGAACUUGCUGAAUUUUUAACCUUUCAGAGUGGAAGUUUAUGUCCAAUUUCUUUUGAAGCAACUUUCAGCUGUUUCUGAGAAGGAUGUGAAAAACUGCAGAAAUCACACUGAACUUCAUUUGAAGGGCCUUCAUUUGAUCAGAAGUGGAGGAGGCAGUGUUAUCAAGUGGAAAGAAAAGAGCCCAGUUCAGCAAGAACAGUUUCAUACACCGAUGCCCUCUAAGAUCUGCACAUCCUUGUACCUGUGCUGCAUCAUUUGCAUAAUGGAGCUUUCCUGUGAGGUUUCUGUUUGCUCUGCAAAGAGAUCUAACCCAGGAAUCAACAACUUUUCUGCUCACUGCUGGACCUUGCCUGGCGCUCAGGUUUAA
rnacentral:lncRNA from 1 species